rnacentral:lncRNA from 1 species
UGAAGUAGCUGGAGAGUGAGGCAGGAGGAGUGGAAGGAUGGCCAGCAGCAUGGAACCCACAAGGGGAGAUUUCACAGAGGAGCCUCAAUGGUGUGGGGGGUCAGGAAGAAAAAGGACCAGACAGCUGUGAAUUUUGUUUCCAGGACAUAAAUAGGGGAUUUCUAGCAAAUACACCCAGAAGAAGUUGAGACAUCCCCCAGGCUUGCGCAGUGCCCCUCCAUUGAAACCAAGCACACUAAACUCACCGCCAGCCUUCUUGGUGGGUCCAUUAGUGCUCAUCUCCCGUUCCCUCUGCCGCACCAGAACCUCAACUCCAG